GCCAAAAUAAUUAUUUACUUUUUCUUUUAAAAUUUCUGCAUUCCAAACAAAUGUAAUUAGGGCUUCCUAUGUGUCUUCUCAAACGCUGGACCACCAUCGAAGAGACCUUGCUGAAGCCUCUGCCAUAUCGCCGCCGCCAGGAUCACCACCUCUUCUCCGUCGUCGUAGCCGCUGUGACCAAGUUUGAUGGUUUUUCUUUGGCCAAUAUGAUAUACAAAGGGAUUGUCAUACUUUGUUGCAUGUUUUUAUCCUUCACACUGGAAUUACCGUUUGUGAAUCAUAUCAUCAAAAACAAAGACAUCCUUUGCCCUCAUCUGAAGACAGUGGUCCUGGUCCACAUUCGACGACGGUUGGCGACAUAGCUUCUACCGGAAAUCCCCUUAACGCAUGGAUCAAGUAGAAUUCUAUUCACUUAGAUCUUGAAUUUGACUUAUGCACCUAGUAAGCCCUCGAAGCACUUUGCAAUAUCAUAAUUAUUAUUGGCGUAGGAACUACAUUUUGCCCAACUUAUGCAUGCAUGUUCUAUUUUGAGGAACUCAAGUACAUUAGAAAUUACCACGGUUCUGAAAAUCGGAACGGAUCGGCCGGUUGAACCGGUCCAAUUGGGAACCGGCAAUGCAAAUGGUUCGGUUCUCUACUCAAAACCGCUCAUCACAGAAUCGGAAGCAAACCGAUGAACCAGCCGGUUUUCCGGAAACAAUGCCGUUUUGGUUAAAUUAAAAAA